GUAGUCAUAUGCUUGUCUCAAAGAUUAAGCCAUGCAUGUCUCAGUGCACGCCUUUAUACGGUGAAACCGCGAAUGGCUCAUUAAAUCAGCUAUGGUUUAUUGGAUCGUACCCGUUAAAUGGAUAACUGUAAUAAAUCUAGAGCUAAUACAUGCCUUGAUGCCCUGACCCUCACGGGAAUGGGUGCACUUAUUAGAUCAGAAGCCAACCGUGUAGGCCUUCGGGUUUGCAUGUUGACCUUCUGGUGACUCUGGAUAAUUGUUACAGAUCGCAGUCGGCCUUGAGUCGGCGACGGGUCCUUCAAAUGUCUGCCCUAUCAACUGUCGAUGGUAGGUGAUCUGCCUACCAUGGUGAUAACGGGUAACGGGGAAUCAGGGUUCGAUUCCGGAGAGGGAGCCUGAGAAACGGCUACCACUUCCAAGGGAGGCAGCAGGCGCGCAAAUUACCCACUCCCAGAACGGGGAGGUGGUGACGAAAAAUACCGAUGCGGGUCUUUUUAAUGAGGCUCCGUAAUCGGAAUGAGUGAACUAUAAAUCCUUUCACGAGGAUCAAUUGGAGGGCAAGUCUGGUGCCAGCAGCCGCGGUAACUCCAGCUCCAAUAGCGUAUAUUAAAGUUGCUGCAGUUAAAAAGCUCGUAGUUGGAUCUCGGUAUCACUGAUGCCUGUCAGUCUUGUGCAGUUGGGCUAGUGUCGCGGGCGCUGCUCGUGUGCCUGGUCUACUGUUAUAAGUUGGCGUGGUGUUGGUGUCACCUUUCAGCCAUGUCUGUGGUGAAAUACCCGCAGGUGUAGGCGAGUGUCAGGCGGUGCUUUGCACAAGUAAGGUCCGUCGGCUCGUUUGCAUGCCUUUGGAUGCCCUUCAAAAGGUGUCUGUGGGCGGAUGGCACGUUUACUUUGAACAAAUUUGAGUGCUCAAACCAGGCCGCCGUUGCCUGAAAAGUUUUGCAUGGAAUAAUGGAAUAGGACUUCGGUUCUAUUUCGUUGGUUUUCGGAUCCGAAGUAAUGAUCAAAAGAGACAGGCGGGGACGUUUGUAUGGCUGCGCUAGAGGUGAAAUUCAUGGACCGUAGCCAGACAAACUAAAGCGAAAGCAUUCGUCAAGCAUGUUUUCAUUGACCAUGAGCGAAAGUCAGAGGCUCGAAGACGAUCAGAUACCGUCCUAGUUCUGACCAUAAACGAUGCCAACUGACGAUCCGUGGUGGUAGUAUUUCAACCUUCCCCACGGGCAGUCCCCGGGAAACCAUUAAGUCUUUGGGUUCCGGGGGAAGUAUGGUUGCAAAGCUGAAACUUAAAGGAAUUGACGGAAGGGCACCACCAGGAGUGGAGCCUGCGGCUUAAUUUGACUCAACACGGGAAAACUCACCCGGGCCGGACACUGUGAGGAUUGACAGAUUGAUAGCUCUUUCUUGAUUCAGUGGUUGGUGGUGCAUGGCCGUUCUUAGUUGGUGGAGCGAUUUGUCUGGUUAAUUUCGAUAACGAACGAGACUCUAGCCUGCUAAUUAGUACAUCUGUCCACUGUUCCUGUGUAGGCGGCGUUUGACAGGGCUGCUUCUAUCUGUUGCCGUGUGUGGUUGGCUUUCGGGUCGGCUGUGCGCGGUAGCUGGAGGUGGCUGGCUCAUCGUUAGUCUCCGGGUACGGCGCGGAUGUCUACUUCUUAGAGGGACAAGCGUAAGAAAACGCACGAGAUUGAGCAAUAACAGGUCUGUGAUGCCCUUAGAUGUCCGGGGCCGCACGCGCGCUACAAUGACGGUGCUAACGAGUCUGACCACCUGUCCCGAAAGGGUUGGGUAAACUGGUCAAUCACCGUCAUGACAGGGAUCGGGGCUUGUAAUUGUUCCCCGUGAACGAGGAAUUCCUAGUAAGUGCAAGUCAUAAGCUUGCGCUGAUUACGUCCCUGCCCUUUGUACACACCGCCCGUCGCUACUACCGAUUGAAUGUUUUAGUAAGGUCCUUGGAUUGGCGCCAUUGUGGUGAUUGCCGCAAGGUAGUCGCUCGACGCGUGCUGAGAAGACGACCAAACUUGAGCAUUUAGAGGAAGUAAAAGUCGUAACAAGGUUUCCGUAGGUGAACCUGCGGAAGGAUCAUCAC
rnacentral:rRNA from 2 species